UUGUAAUGAAACCAACGAGAGUCCGAAU
rnacentral:piRNA from 1 species